rnacentral:lncRNA from 1 species
CGCCCUACGCUGCACCUGGCGCCGGGCGGGCCCCGCGAGGCUGCCGCAGUUCUCUGAGUGGAGAAGCCGCGGGCCGGGCCGGGCCGCGACUGGUAAUGGCAGACGGCAGACGCGGCCAGCCCUGGUGCUGGCGCUCCGCAGCUCUUUGCAUUUCACCUGGGAGGAGGAGAGGGGAGAGAAUUAGGAGGAACCAAGCGUCUGGAGACAGCUGCAGCCCAUCUCACAGGACAGGUGGAUUCAGGAGAUGGCAGGCGCCUGGCACACCACAGUGGAGCAGGAGUUCCACCUGUUUUCUGCAGAGUCUAAGGAAGCAGAGCCCCUGGCAGCCUCUGAAGCCAGUCCUCCCAGACCCUGAGCCCCGGAAGCCAGUCCCCCAUCUGGAUCCAUGUGUUUACCUGUGUCCUCAUCUGCUAUGCUCUGCCACCUGGAUGGUGGGGGCCAGGGCUUUGCCUGGGGAUGUGACCUGA